CAGAGCCUCUCCUUUCCCCUGCUCUGCCGUUCGUGCCCUCUGUCCUGGAGGAUCGGCAGAGGCGGGGAGGCAUCCACGUGUUCAAAAUCACGCCCUGAGUGGGUCGGAAUUAAAAAAAGGGGCACCAAUACUAUGGAUAUUUCAAGUCUCCAGAGAGCUCUGCUUGGAAGGAAAGAGACGCAGAGCGCCUGUAGCAGAACCAAAGAUUCAGCUCACUGAAUUCUCUGCUUUUUCCUCCCAAUUCUACAAAAACACCCUUCAGACCACCAUUGCUCCAGCCAUGGAAGCAAUAUAGUGAUGGCCCAUGUGAGAGCUCAGGAAGGGAGGAGGAGGAGAAGACCCAAGUGGCUGCUUUCUUGGUGCUGAGGACGAUGUGCCCUGCUGCCAUGUGCCAACCUCUGCACUGGGCUCCUCCACCUCCCAGUGCUGUGAGUCACUGCAGCCAUCCCUGCACCACAUCCCCCAGACAGAGCCACACUGCAUCUCGGGACAUUCUGUGAAGAAAUUGCAUUCUCGUGACUAAAUAUCAGCAUAGAGAAUGAAUGAAGGAAGACCAGAAAUUUACUUAAAAUCUGCCACCAACUCCUCAGCACAGGGGAAAGUCUGGUGUUGGUGUCAUGGCCUGAAAGAGAUGCAAGCAGAACGAUUACUUGUGUUCACAGAAUCCUUAAAGUUGGAAAAGACCACCAGCAUCAUCGAGUCCAACCGUGUUGGGGCAGUCUGCUCAGACACAUCUCCUGUCCAAGAGCUUCCAACUUUCUGCAGUUUCCUUAUCCUUGUGCCUAAGGGACACCAAGGCACAGAGUACUUUGUAGGCAUGGCUGGCUGCCAGCCACCCUUGUCCUCUGGUUAAUAGAGGAGCAAAUGGAACCAUUGCAGGUGUGAGCUGCCACCAGCAGCAGUUUUUCUCCUUGGAUUCCAGGCACCGUUCACAUCCCACUGUUUGGAAUAUGGCCAUCGCUACAUUUAGCCACCAGUCCUGGAAGGAUGUGGUGCUGCCCUGCUGACAACCCACCAGAGAUGCCCUGAGGGCUGGGAUGCACGUUGCUGUCUGCCCUGAGGCUGUAAGCUUGUGAUAACACCGCCGAGCUCGCAUCGAGGAGGGGAAGCUGAGCAACCUCAAUUUUGAAGCUGAGCAGCAGCGGGGAACCCAUCUUAAAGCUGCAUCACCUCACCGGCUUCAAAAGCGAAGGAGCUUCUUUUAUUGCAGCGAGCUGCUCUCCAGGAAUGAUUAAAGUCCCGUAAACGAGCACCUUCCUCAUGGCAGAGCUGUCUGCUGACAGGGCGCCAAGUACAACAAGCCCAAUCCAAAGCAUCAUCACCUCCAUGGGGCUAAUUGUCAUUGCCUUGUCCCUGGAACAAGAAUUGUGGUAAGGGAAAGCAGAGCCUGGAGACACAUGCACGUCCCUGUACAGAAAUAACCCCUGAAGGAGAACUGAAAAGCAAUUGAGGAGUCGGCCUACGGGCUGCAGACAAAGCGCAGAGCAAAGGAGGUAACCAGCAGUGAGCGCUGGGAAAUAAUGCCUUAAAUUCCCUCUGAGCCCGUUCAUCACCGUGGCUUUGGUGAUCAUCUCAGCAACAAAUUCCCUUAUCAUCCGGCUGGAAUUUGAUGUUAAUGACCUGUCUGUUAUUUCAGAGGGAGAUGGACUGGAACCAGUGGGUAAUUGGUAGGAAAAAUCGCUGGGUGCAGCUAAGAGCUGAUGCUACUGGAGUCGUUACACCACGAGAGAGGGAGAUUAGGGAGCUCUGCUUACCACAAGGGGUUUAUUCAUCCUGAAUAAAUGCAUUAGCUGACCAGAAUUGUCCUCCUAUGCCCUCAUUGCUGUCUGGUGGCAUCUCCCCACCACAACUCACCCUGCUUUUCCCAACAGACAGCAGAGAAAGCCCAGCAGAAGCUGAUAGAAUCAUAGAACACCCAGAGCUGGAAGAGACCCGUAAGGAUCAUCGAGUCCAAUUCCUGCUGUUGAGAUGAUCACAGUAGGGAAUAACCUGCUCUCUUCAAGCUCACGCUGAUGUAUGCAUUUAUUUAGGAGUUCUCUCAGGAAAGACCAUAAUUAUUCUGAUUUCUUAAUUACCAAAAUUAUUCAAACCCUUCUGCCCUGCAAUGUUUUGCACAAACAACCUCCCAGAUUGCAACAGCGUUAGGAUUUGGGUCUGUUUCUCAGCUGGAAGGAUUCUCUGCAUUCAUUGCCACUUCUCCUUGCCAUCACAUUAGCGGGGCAGCCUGCAGCCCUCACCAAAAAUAGGAUAA